rnacentral:rRNA from 1 species
GACGAACGCUGGCGGCGUGCUUAACACAUGCAAGUCGAACGGUGAAAGCGGAGCUUGCUCCGCUGGAUCAGUGGCGAACGGGUGAGUAACACGUGGGCAACCUGCCCCUGACUUCGGGAUAACUCCUCGAAAGAGGUGCUAAUACCGGAUACGAAUCCUGCAGGCAUCUGCGGGAUUGGAAAGUUUUUCGGUCAGGGAUGGGCCCGCGGCCUAUCAGCGUGUUGGUGAGGUAGUGGCUCACCAGGGAGACGACGGGUAGCCGGCCUGAGAGGGCGGGCGGCCACACUGGGACUGAGACACGGCCCAGACUCCGACUGGAGGCAGCAGUGGGGAAUAUUGCGCAAUGGGCGAAAGCCUGACGCAGCAACGCCGCGUGAGGGAUGACGGCCUUCGGGUUGUAAACCUCUUUCAGCAGGGAAGAAGCGAAAGUGACGGUACCUGCAGAAGAAGCACCGGCUAACUACGUGCCAGCAGCCGCAGUAA